UUUGUUUUUAUCUCUUCAUCUCUUCCUCUUUCCAGUGUCCCGGAAUUUGGAUGUGAUGGUUGGAAUCAGGCAGCCAUAUUCAGUUAUGAAGUGAUCCUGAGAAUGGAGUCUUCAUACAGUGGAACAACAAGACGGAAAGAGCCUGGUCCCUGAGCCACUGCUUUUUUAUUUUUAUUUUUAUUUUUUUUUCUUUUAAAGAGAAACUUCCAUCUUGUUAAAGUUCCUGUUAUGUUGGGUCUCUACUAUUCAUUGCCAAACUUUAUUCUAAUAUAAAAGGACAAGUGAACCCUGGAUUAGGAAUUAGAAGACCUAGGUCUAGCCCCGUUUCUCCAACUCAUAUUCCAUGUGAAUUUGGGGAUGGAAAAGGAUAAAGAGCCCCUGUGUUGCAAUCCCUGGCAUCCCUGGCUAUUUUAAGCAUCCAAUGAGGUUUGCCCCUUGGGAGCUCUCAGUUCUCCUUGGAGCCCCAUGCGUUUCUAUUCCAAGGUGGGGGCAGGGUGCCCUGGGAAGGAGCAGAGUGGGGGCUGGUUUCUGCCUGAGUUUAUUUUAGGUCUUACCCUGUCGAGUAGGCGAUCGAGGCACAAGUGGGACCCAGAGAUGUGAGAGCAUUCUGUGUUAGAGGGAUAGCAGUCUUUGCUAACUGCUAAAUAGCAUCACAAAUGGAGUAUGUCUGUCCUUAAACCACCUUAUCUUUCAUCCUUCAAACCAUGCCAAGCACGUAUCCAUAAAAGAGCAAAUAGCCCCUUUCUCUCUUCCCCUCAUAACAUCCUCAGCAGCUGCACAAUUGUUAUGUAUUUUAAAUAAAGCAUUUAAAGCCACUCAGAAUGUAGCAACAAUCACCAUGGAUACUCAUCACUGAAAUCCUUUGUUGCUAUGGCAACGGUCCACCCUUUCCCCCCCCAUCUUGCCUGUUUACCCUGAAACUGACAUGUUGGUUAUGGUGAAUGAUAGGAAAAAAUUUCAGAGGAACUUCCAAGGGCACAGAAGCAUGAAAUAUCUUGCCAGAAAAUAGAGCAAAUGGACAGAACUGAAUGACUGACAACCCACAUUGUCUCCCUGGAGAGGACCAAAGGAAUCCAAGGGACCAAGGAAGAAAGAGAAAAGCAAUCAAGCAAGAGAAGUAAAUACAUCUACCAACCUCAAAAGGAGUGGACACACAGGGUGCCCUAAAAGUCUAGAGCAGAGGCCAUAAACUAUCUGCAACUGUC